AAAUCGCAAUACAAACGCCACCUUCUUCUCUUGUGUGGCUGCUCGGUCUCCACUUCCAGCCGCAGCCACCGUCAACCGCUCGAGUCCGAUUUGGGAAGUGUCGAGCUAAUUAUUUUCCAGAGAAAUUUAGAUACAUGAAGGCUAAACCCAAAUCAUAUACAGUGCUGCAAGGCUUACAGGGUGUGCAUGACUCUUCUACAAAAAUGAAGAAACAGAUUGCUCUAGGUUUUGAGGGUUCAGCAAACAAGAUCGGUGUCGGUGUUGUGACCUUAGAUGGCACAAUUUUGUCAAACCCACGCCACACAUACAUUACCCCUCCUGGCCAAGGUUUCCUUCCCCGUGAAACUGCACAACAUCAUCUCCAAUACAUUCUGCCGUUGAUUAAAUCUGCUUUGGAAACUGCGCAAGUAACCCCUCAAGAGAUCAAUUGCCUUUGUUACACCAAAGGUCCUGGAAUGGGAGCACCACUACAAGUUGCUGCCAUUGUUGUUAGGGUUCUUUCACAGCUGUGGAAGAAGCCCAUUGUUGCAGUUAAUCAUUGUGUUGCACAUAUCGAGAUGGGAAGAAUUGUGACUGGCGCGGUUGAUCCUGUUGUGUUGUAUGUAAGUGGUGGGAACACACAAGUAAUUGCAUAUAGUGAAGGGAGGUAUCGAAUCUUUGGAGAGACUAUUGAUAUUGCUGUUGGAAAUUGCUUGGAUCGGUUUGCCAGGGUAUUAGAACUCUCAAAUGAUCCAGCCCCUGGAUAUAACAUUGAGCAGCUUGCAAAGAAAGGAGAACAGUUUAUAGACCUUCCAUAUGCUGUCAAAGGGAUGGAUGUAUCUUUUAGUGGAAUUUUGAGCUACAUUGAAGCCACUGCUGUGGAGAAACUUAAAAAGACGAAUGCACCGCUGCAGACCUAUGCUACUCACUUCAGGAAAAUGUUUUUGCAAUGCUUGUUGAGAUAACAGAACGUGCAAUGGCACAUUGUGACAAGAGAGAUGUACUUAUUGUUGGUGGUGUGGGCUGCAAUGAGCGCCUGCAAGAGAUGAUGAAAACCAUGUGUGCCGAACGGGGUGGAAGACUGUUUGCAACUGAUGAUAGGUAUUGUAUUGAUAAUGGGGCAAUGAUUGCUUAUACCGGUCUUCUUGCUUUUGCUCAUGGAACAUCAACCCCAUUGGAGGAAUCGACUUUCACGCAACGAUUCCGGACUGAUGAAGUGGAAGCAAUAUGGCGAGUGAAAGAGGAGUCAGCAAAAGUGAACGAGUAUGGUAGUAGCUAAAUCUAGUAGUUCUUGAGGUAUGCAGUUUCUAGUGUGAAAAUUGAACAUCAAUGUCAAAUGAAUUGGCUGAAUUAUGGCCAAAAGUGUCAUGAUUUUGAAGCAAGGUGCUUGACUUUGACACUGUUAGUACCUAACUUGAGUAAAUUGGUAUUCCACUUAAACUUAAAAAGGUUGGGGACUCUUAUGUUUGUUAGAUAUAUUUUUAUGAAAAUGGAUGAGUGCUGCAUAUGAUGGUGGGA